rnacentral:rRNA from 1 species
GACGAACGCUGGCGGCGUGCUUAACACAUGCAAGUCGAACGGAAAGGCCCUGCUUUUGUGGGGUGCUCGAGUGGCGAACGGGUGAGUAACACGUGAGUAACCUGCCCUUGACUUUGGGAUAACUUCAGGAAACUGGGGCUAAUACCGGAUAGGAGCUCCUGCUGCAUGGUGGGGGUUGGAAAGUUUCGGCGGUUGGGGAUGGACUCGCGGCUUAUCAGCUUGUUGGUGGGGUAGUGGCUUACCAAGGCUUUGACGGGUAGCCGGCCUGAGAGGGUGACCGGCCACAUUGGGACUGAGAUACGGCCCAGACUCCUACGGGAGGCAGCAGUGGGGAAUAUUGCACAAUGGGCGGAAGCCUGAUGCAGCAACGCCGCGUGCGGGAUGACGGCCUUCGGGUUGUAAACCGCUUUCGCCUGUGACGAAGCGUGAGUGACGGUAAUGGGUAAAGAAGCACCGGCUAACUACGUGCCAGCAGCCGCGGUGAUACGUAGGGUGCGAGCGUUGUCCGGAUUUAUUGGGCGUAAAGGGCUCGUAGGUGGUUGAUCGCGUCGGAAGUGUAAUCUUGGGGCUUAACCCUGAGCGUGCUUUCGAUACGGGUUGACUUGAGGAAGGUAGGGGAGAAUGGAAUUCCUGGUGGAGCGGUGGAAUGCGCAGAUAUCAGGAGGAACACCAGUGGCGAAGGCGGUUCUCUGGGCCUUUCCUGACGCUGAGGAGCGAAAGCGUGGGGAGCGAACAGGCUUAGAUACCCUGGUAGUCCACGCUGUAAACGGUGGGUACUAGGUGUGGGGUCCAUUCCACGGGUUCCGUGCCGUAGCUAACGCUUUAAGUACCCCGCCUGGGGAGUACGGCCGCAAGGCUAAAACUCAAAGGAAUUGACGGGGCCCCGCACAAGCGGCGGAGCAUGCGGAUUAAUUCGAUGCAACGCGUAGAACCUUACCUGGGUUUGACAUGGAUCGGGAGUGCUCAGAGAUGGGUGUGCCUCUUUUGGGGUCGGUUCACAGGUGGUGCAUGCCUGUCGUCAGCUCGUGUCGUGAGAUGUUGGGUUAAGUCCCGCAACGAGCGCAACCCUUGUUCACUGUUGCCAGCACGUUAUGGUGGGGACUCAGUGGAGACCGCCGGGGUCAACUCGGGGGAAGGUGGGGAUGACGUCAAGUCCUCAUGCCCCUUAUGUCCAGGGCUUCACGCAUGCUACAAUGGCUGGUACAGAGAGUGGCGAGCCUGUGAGGGUGAGCGAAUCUCGGAAAGCCGGUCUCAGUUCGGAUUGGGGUCUGCAACUCGACCUCAUGAAGUCGGAGUCGCUAGUAAUCGCAGAUCAGCAACGCUGCGGUGAAUAAAUUCCCGGG